AUUGAACGCUGGCGGCAGGCCUAACACAUGCAAGUCGAACGAGUGGCGGACGGGUGAGUAAUGUCUGGGAACCUGCCUGAUGGAGGGGGAUAACUACUGGACACGGUAGCUAAUACCGCAUACCAUCAGAUGUGCCCAGAUGGGAUUAGCUAGUUGGUGGGGUAACGGCUCAAAAAGGCGACGAUCCCUAGCUGGUCUCAGAGGAUGACCAGCCACACUGGAACUGAGAUACGGUCCAGACUCCGACGGAAGGCGGCAGUGGGGAAUAUGGCAAAAUGGGCGCAAGCCUGAUGCAGCUAUGCCGCGUGUAGGAAGAAGGCCUUCGGGUUGUAAAGUACGUGCAGCGGGGAGGCGUUACCCGCAGAAGAAGCACCGGCUAAAUCCGUGCCAGCAGCCGCGGUAAUUC
rnacentral:rRNA from 1 species